rnacentral:rRNA from 1 species
GAGUUUGAUCGUGGCUCAGGAUGAACGCUGGCGGCGUGCUUAACACAUGCAAGUCGAACGAGGAAUUUUAAAUGAGACUUCGGUGGAUUUUAAAAUUCUUAGUGGCGGACGGGUGAGUAACGCGUGGGCAACCUGCCCUGUACAGGGGGGACAACAGCUGGAAACGGCUGCUAAUACCGCAUAAGACCACGGAGCCGCAUGGCUCA